CCACCUAUCAUUUUUCCAUUUUCUGUAGUCUGUACCUGUAGAACCCCUAAGGCAGGUGAUAAAAUGGGUUAAUUAGAAAACUAGGAUAGCAAAUAAAGGAAAGAUAGAGUCAAGCCAUUGAGAAUCCUUGCAAGUCAACAGCAUGAAAAUAACUAACGGGUCAUUUUAGGAAUCACAGAGCCUCCCAUUGAAAAGAACGCACAAGGGGUCAUCUGGUCCAAAUUUAGAAACUGGUAAGAUUUUUCCUUCCCACAUGCCCUGUCUCUGACCAGCAGUGUUACAAAAUAGUCACGCUGGGACUGCCAGUGUCUUCUCUGCUGGAAUAGAUGCUUUCGCAGAGUUAACUUUAAAAUAAUGCAAGCAAAGAGGAAAUGUGUAUUACAAAUGCCUUAGAUGGAUUUGAUCUAUAUACAUAAUAUCUCCUUCCAGUGCCUUAGUUUUAUGAUUUGGCAGUGGAAGUCAUUUUGACACGAGGUCUUUAAUAACAUUGGUGUUCAUUCCUAGACUAUUUGAUACACCCAAUUAAUAGAUUCUGCAGAUGAUCUGUCACCCUGUGAGACUGCUAAAUGAAUCAAACUCAUUAAGUGCUCCUCUUUUAUUAAUAGCCUAAGUCCCACUGCUGCGAUGUAGAAAUGCUAUUAGUAGAGCUGGCUUCUGCCUCUUGUUUGAACACAUCUUACAAAUAAGUCAGCACUGAAAGGGAUAUGAAUCAUGAUAACUGGGUCUGUCACAUAAGGCUGGAACAAAUGGCUCCGAGCCUUGUCUGAGGGGCAGUGAUACGCUGCAUCAGUGGCUCUGGGUGAAAUCCAUAUCUAAGGCAGAGAUUCUGCUGGGAAAAGCCUGCCCGCAAUUAAGUCUGCUGUCUCUAAACCACUUCUCAGUCAGAAAUACCAUUGCUAAAGCCUUCUUUCUAAGAAAAGAAAGCACAGAAUCAUUGACUAUUAGAUUAGGAAGGAACUAGAAGAUCAUUCCACCCAGUGGUUAUCAGCCCUAACUAUAAAUUAGAAUCACCUGGGAUGUUUUAGAAAAAAGCAAUAUCCACUAAACAGGUGGUACCGAUCUCAAAGUAUUAAAAGAAAACAGAGAUUGUUCUAUAGCCACAAUUCAGUUAUGUUAAAAAGAGCUAUCAAGAAAGUCCCAAAUGUUUAGAAAUUAAGCAAUAGAACUUAAAUAGGCCAUGGGUCAGAGAAUACAUUUGAACCAAACAAUAGUGGCCACAGAGUAUAUUCAUAUGUUGGAAUGCAGCAAAAGGAACAUUUAAAGAUAAAUACUGUUGGUGGGACUGUAAACUAGUUCAACCAUUGUGGAAGUCAGUGUGGUGAUUCCUCAGGGAUCUAGAACUAGAAAUUCCAUGUGACCCGACCAUCCUAUUACUGGGUAUAUACUCAAAGGAAUAUAAAUCAUGCUGCUAUAAAGACAUGCACACGUAUGUUUAUUGUGGCACUAUUCACAAUAGCAAAGACUUGGAACCAACACAAAUGUCCAACAAUGAUAGACUGGAUUAAGAAAAUGUGGCACAUAUACACCAUGGAAUACUAUGCAGCCAUAAAAAAUGAUGAGUUCAUGUCCUUUGUAGGGACAUGGAUGCAGCUGGAAACCAUCAUUCUCACAAACUAUCGCGAGGACAAAAAAACCAAACACCGCAUGUUCUCACUCAUAGGUGGGAAUUGAACAAUGAGAACACUUGGACACAGGAAGGGGAACAUCACACUCUGGGGCCUGUUGUGGGGUGGGGGGACGGGGGAGGAAUAGCAUUAGGAGAUAUACCUAAUGCUAAAUGACGAGUUAAUGGGUGCAGCACACCAGCAUGGCACAUGUAUACAUAUGUAACUAACCUGCACAUUGUGCACAUGUACCCUAAAACUUAAAGUAUAAUAAUAAUAAUAAUAAUAAUAAUAAUAAUAAUUAUUAAAAAAAAAAGGAAGCUAGAUCUC
rnacentral:lncRNA from 1 species